rnacentral:rRNA from 1 species
UACGUAGGGUGCGAGCGUUGUCCGGAAUUAUUGGGCGUAAAGCGCGUGUAGGCGGCUUUGCAAGUCGGGUGUGAAAUCCCUCGGCUCAACCGAGGAAGUGCGCCCGAAACUGCAGAGCUUGAGUACCGGAGAGGAUGGUGGAAUUCCCCAAGUAGAGGUGAAAUUCGUAGAUAUGGGGAGGAACACCGGUGGCGAAGGCGACCAUCUGGACGGAUACUGACGCUGAGACGCGAAAGCGUGGGGAGCAAACAGG